GUUGCUCUCUGUUAUGUUCCUGGGUUUGGGAUCACGUCACAAGACGAUUAACCACAAAAUCUUCUUCAAUGACUGAAGACAUUGCCUUAUUGAGAUUUCUUCCCCUUGAAGAACCUAUGUUUUCUAUUGGAAAUAAUUGUCCCACAUGGGAAAUAUAUAAAAUAAAAAGGCAAUAUUAAAGUGGCUAGAUUGUAAUAUUAAAGUGGCUAGUUAUUUGGAUGUGUAAAGUAAUCUAAUUACU
rnacentral:misc_RNA from 1 species